rnacentral:rRNA from 1 species
GUCCACGCCCUUAAACUAUGAAUACUAAGUGUCGGCGGUUUACCGCCGGUGCCGCAGCUAACGCAUUAAGUAUUCCGCCUGGGAAGUACGGCCGCAAGGUUGAAACUCAAAGGAAUUGACGGGGCCCGCACAAGCGGUGGAGCAUGUGGUUUAAUUCGACGCAACGCGAAGAACCUUACCCAGGCUGGACAUGCAGGUAGUAGAAGGGUGAAAGCCCAACGAGGUAGCAAUAACCAUCCUGCUCAGGUGCUGCAUGGCUGUCGU